GAGAGUUAAAUAGUACGUGAAAUUGUUGAAAGGGAAACGAUUGAAGUCAGUCAUGCUAGUGAAAAAUCAGUUUGACGGGUUUUGAGUUCAGGAGUAGAGGCAGGGUCAAACCGUUUCUCCUUUGGACUUGGGAUUUGUUAGAUGUACUUUUUCUUUGGCAGGUCAGCGUCGAUUUCGGAGGUUGUAAAAUACUUGGGGGAAAGUAACUCUGCUUCGGGAGAGUAUUAUAGACCCUGGGGGAUGCAGCCUGCGGGAUCGAGGAUUGCAGCAAAUGCCUUUGGCUUGUCGCCUGAUCUCUGGAUGUUACCUCGCUUGUGACAACAUUCUUGCCACCUGUGGGUACUAAUGCCCAUUAGGUUAGAGCGAUCAAAAAUUUUGCUAAGGAUGCUGACGUAAUGGCUUUAAACGA
rnacentral:rRNA from 1 species